CCUACGGGGGGCAGCAGUGGGGAAUAUUGCACAAUGGGGGAAACCCUGAUGCAGCGACGCCGCGUGAGUGAAGAAGUAAUUCGUUACGUAAAGCUCUAUCAGCAGGGAAGAAAUACUGACCUUACGGUCAGCAGACGGUACCUGAGUAAGAAGCCCCGGCUAACUACGUGCCAGCAGCCGCGGUAAUACGCAGGGGGCAAGCGUUAUCCGGCUUUACUGGGUGUAAAGGGGGCGUGGACGGUGCGCCAAGUCUGGAGGGAAAUGCCGCAGCUUAACUGCGGAACUGCUUUGGAAACUGGCGAACUAGAGUGCGGGAGGGGUAAGCGGAAUUCCUAGUGUAGCGGUGAAAUGCGUAGAUAUUAGGAGGAACACCGAUGGCGAAGGCGGCUUACUGGACCGUAACUGACGUUGAGGCUCGAAAGCGUGGGGAGCAAACAGGAUUAGAUACCCGGGUAGUC
rnacentral:rRNA from 1 species